rnacentral:lncRNA from 1 species
AGGUCAUAUGGGGUCGCCAGCCCAAUAGGGGACAUCAGCCCUAUAGGGGUCAGAGGCCAUAUGGGGUCAUCGGCCCUAUUGGGGUCACAGGGCAUGUGGGGUCACAGGUCAUAUGGGGGUCAGAGGUCAUAUGGGGGUCAGCUGUCAUAUGGGGUCACAGGGCAUGUGGGAUCAUGGGGCAUGUGGGGUCAGAGGGCAUGUGGGGUCACGGGGCACUUGGGGUUAUGGGGCAUGUGGGGUCACAGGGCAUGUGGGGUCAUCGGGCGUAUGGGGUCCCUACGGUGCCCCUGUCCUUAUGGUGUCCCUGUCCCUACGGUGCCCCUGUCCCUAUAAGGGUCCCUAUGGUGUCCCUAUGGUGUCCCUGUCCCUAUGGGGGUCCCUAUCCCUAUGGUGUCCCUACGAUGCCCCUGUCCCUAUUAGAGUCCCUAUGGUGUCCCUAUGGUGUCCCUAUGGUGUCCCUGUCCCUAUUAGAGUCCCUCUGGUGUCCCUCUGGUGUCCCUGUCCCUAUGGGGGUCCCUGUCCCUAACGGUGUCCCUAUGGUGUCCCUCUGGUCCCCCUGUCCCUAUGAUGCCCCGUCCCUGUGGGGUCCCCGUCCCUCUGGGUCCCCCUGGUGUCCCUCCGGCUCCCCCGUCCCUGUGGUCCCCGGCCGCCCCCAACCCCCGCCGUCCCGCAGCGCUCGUCGCGGCGCUCGCUGUUCGUGGCGGCGGCGGCGCGGCACCAGCAGUUGUACCGCCUGGCCAUGACGGGCGCCGGCAUCGACCGCCACCUCUUCUGCCUCUACGUGGCGUCGCGGUACCUCGGCGUGCGGUCCGCCUUCCUCGAUCACGUGAGCGGCGGGGGGGGCGGGGGGGCGAUGGGGGGUGAUGGGGGUGGGGGGGGAUGG